GCAUGGUCGUCCUCCGGACACCAAAGGCGCAAAAAACAUAACUUGAGUUGUGCGGGAUUACGGGCGCGGCUCUCUGCAGCGUCCCUCCAUCCCCGGGUGUUGUAACCGGCAUGCGGUGUGGUCCCUCGGGGCCGUCACCGUGCCACAACAUACCGUGAGUGUGCAGGAUGUGACCCGAAAGAUGGUGAACUAUGCCUGAUCAGGUUGAAGUCAGGGGAAACCCUGAUGGAGGACCGAAGCAGUUCUGACGUGCAAAUCGAUUGUCAGAAUUGGGCAUAGGGGCGAAAGACCAAUCGAACCAUCUAGUAGCUGGUUCCUUCCGAA
rnacentral:rRNA from 1 species